UAACUGCGUGCAGACGUGUGAACUGCAGGACACAUGAACACCGACAUUUCGAACGCAAAUGGCGGUCUUAAGUAAAUUUAAGACCACGUCUGGCUGAGGGUCGGAUAAAAAUAAAACCUAAAAGUGCUCUAAAAUGUGCUGCUAUAAUAUAUAGCGGUUGUGUGUAAUAAUAAUAGAGUCACUGUCAGCGUCAAGUUGUGCAACUUGAUUAGAAUUUGAAGCAUUGUAUCAAGUACUAUGUUACAAUCAUACACAAUCCAUGAAAAUUAAAACAGAAUGAAAAAUAAGGACGGAAUAGAUGGUAUUGUAUACAAAUGAUUGUUUUAAAUGAAUGACACGAUGCUUAAGAAAUAACACAGAAUCUUACAUAUAUAGCGACCUCAGAGCAGGCGAGAUUACCCGCUAAAUUUAAGC
rnacentral:misc_RNA from 1 species